GACGAACCGUGCGACCGUUAUUCGGAAUCACUGGGCUUAAAGCGCGUGUAGGCGGGCCGCCGCGUCGGCUGCUGAAAUCCCACGGCUCAACCGUGGAACUGCUGGGUAUACUGGCUGUCUUGAGCCAGCUAGGGGCGAGCGGAACAGACGGUGGAGCGGUGAAAUGCGUAGAUAUCGUCUGGAACGCCGAAGGUGAAAACAGCUCGCUGGGGCUGCGCUGACGCUGAGACACGAAAGCCAGGGGAGCGAACGGG
rnacentral:rRNA from 1 species